AAGGUGACUGCCGGCUAAAAGUCGGAGGAAGGUGGGGAUGACGUCAAAUCAUCAUGCCCCUUAUGACCUGGGCUACACACGUGCUACAAUGGGCGGUACAAAGGGUCGCGAACCCGCAGGGGGAGCCAAUCCCAAAAAGCCGCUCUCAGUUCGGAUUGCAGGCUGCAACUCGCCUGCAUGAAGCCGGAAUCGCUAGUAAUCGCGGAUCAGCAUGCCGCGGUGAAUACGUUCCCGGGCCUU
rnacentral:rRNA from 1 species